rnacentral:rRNA from 1 species
UACGGAAGGCAGCAGGGGGGAAUAUUGCACAAUGGGCGCAAGCCUGAUGCAGCCAUGCCGCGUGUAUGAAGAAGGCCUUCGGGUUGUAAAGUACUUUCAGUCGUGAGGAAGGUGUUAAGGUUAAUAACCUUAGCAAUUGACGUUAGCGACAGAAGAAGCACCGGCUAACUCCGUGCCAGCAGCCGCGGUAAUACGGAGGGUGCGAGCGUUAAUCGGAAUUACUGGGCGUAAAGGGCACGCAGGCGGUUAAUUAAGUUGGAUGUGAAAUCCCCGGGCUUAACCUGGGAAUGGCAUUCAAGACUGGUUAGCUAGAGUCUUGUAGAGGGGGUAGAAUUCCAUGUGUAGCGGUGAAAUGCGUAGAGAUGUGGAGGAAUACCGGUGGCGAAGGCGGGCCCCUGGACAAAGACUGGGACGCUCAUGUGCGAAAGCGUGGGGAGCAAACGAGGAUUAGA